GCCUUCGUGGUGUAGAGGUCAGCACGCUCGACGCGUAACCGAGAGGUCCGUGGUUCGAAUCCCGGCGAAGGCG
rnacentral:tRNA from 1 species